AAGAUCAUAGCAUGUGUCUAAAAUCGAAAGAGCUGAUGCGUUCGGAUACUUCGCCAUGCCUUUGCGGAAGGAAUCGCGAAGGCUGGCGUAGACGGUAGGUGGCAGCCGUGUAAUGACAGUGCCGGAGUCGAUAAUGGCGCCACCGGAGGUGAAAAGAGAGGGCGAGAUUGGAAGCUUGGUUCCUCCGACGCUGAUCCCAGCAAUGUCGAGUCCGUAGAAGGAAUUGCUACUGGAGAAAGGGGCGAAAGGAGUGUAUUUUACAUACUUGUUACGGGUGGCGCCGAAUGUGAGGUGGCCAACGGCGCUGGAAGUGGAGGGAAGACAAUAAGAAAAAGUUUUAUAGUAUUUUUGAGAGGUUUGUUGGACAAAGGAGAUUGGAUGACGACCAAGGCCUAACAGACCGGCUGAGCCGCCGAAUAGGCCUUGGUUGUUUUGUCCACAACCGAAUAAAAAACCAUCGACAGCAUCUGUCGAUGUUACAGUCAGCCGCUCGCGGCUGAAGUAUCCGACCGAGAAAGAUUGGUCGCCAUACUGGAUCCCAUAUAUGCAUGCUUUUGUCGAUGAAGAACAGCCGGGAUCAUUUCCUGUAAAAAAACAUACAAUUUACAUCCACAAAGUAAAUUUUUUUACAAAAUAUGUAAAUAUUUCAUGAUCAUGAUCAUAAUACAUAUACAGAAAACGAAAUAUACAAUAAUCUUGUAAAGUAUUUUUACAUCAUUAAUCAAAGACAGACAUGUUUUUUUGUCAAAUCAUAUUUUUCAUUUUAAAAUACUGAUAUACUCAUGAAUAUAUACCUGUAGCCGAAGAGAGUUGAGUGCAAUCUGGAGAAGUGCAUGUGAUAUUGUAAUAAGAAGUAGACUUUGAUGGAUCAAAUAUUUCAUCUAUUUGUUUAUAACAAGAACGAGCACAAGGUUGACAUUGAGUCCAAGUAAGAUCACUACCGGUAUCAAAAAUAAGUGAUAAAUCUUUUUUAGGAGUACCAAGUCCAAGAACAACAUAAUAGUUUCCUGAUCCAAUUAAGCUACCAGAUUUUGCAGGUAAACUAGCUGAAGAAGAAGAAUCCAAUUCUAUUUCCACCUUAUUGUUGUUAUUGUUACUGGAUGAUGAUAAUAGCUUUGAGUGAAUAUAGCUUAUUCUUUCUUUGUCAUGAUUUAGAAUAUCACUAUGUGUUGGAAUAGAAUUUGCUUUUCCAUUGUUAUUCAGUUGGGAACAUGGGCCAUGUUUGUGUAAUACAUCUAAUGAUGCUUUUCUUUUUGGACCUGAAAUUCAAAAAAUGAAUGAACCGUGUUUAGUGGUGUCAGAUUAUUGUGGCUUAACCAUUACUUUAAAAUUAAUAAAAAAAAAUCAAUAAUUAAUGUCAUAUUUGCAUAAAUUAUUCUAAGGAUGAGAAUGACUAUACCUAAGGAAUCUAGAGAUAUUUGAAACAUAUCACUCACAAAGACAAGACUCAAAGACAAAAUCUUAUCUUUAAUUUGUUAUAUAUUUAUAUCAAGUGAGAGUUAUUUAUACUCAAGAAUAAUUGUUUUAUAUUAUUAGUUAGGUACAUAUAAAUAACUAAACUACCCAAUAAUGGAAUUUAAUAUAGUUUUUUAUUAAAAAAUAUUAGUUUUCCAACUUACAGUUUUCCCACUACUUUAGCUCCAAAAAUAAUCAUUAAUACGACAAAUAAUUAUCACAAACAAUAUAUUAAUUCUCUUAUACUCUAUGAUAUAAAUAAUAGCACUCUCAUCUUGUGUAAUCAUUGAGCAAACUCUAAGAACUUUUUGGUUUCUUUUACGCGUAUGAAAAUUGGAGAAAAGUUGAAUCUUUUGGCCAAAAUUUGUCAAUAUCUUCAGCUAUACAAAACUUGCCUAAAAGAUGACGUGUUGUAAAAGUGAAAAUUAGCCACUUGUUAUUUGUUUUUUAACUUAUUGUGUGUUGGUGCCAAACGUGAAUAAAUUUUGUAUUUUUUUCUUUCAUAAAGAUAAAUUAUUAUAAAUAAAUGAACAAAAUACAAUGUCACAAGUGAUGAAUUCUUCGAGUUUAGUGUAUGUAUACAGAGUUAUAAUAGUGAUCAAUGACCCGUGAAUGUUAUGAGUCUUUCAGUCAAAUAGUGUCUUAUGUAUUGAUUGAAUGUGUUCUCAUGACCCGUGAUUAUAAAUUUAACAUUUUGUCUCUACUAAGGAAUAGAAAGAAAAAAACAUGUCAAUUAUUAUUUUUGUGACAAAAUUUUGCACUUCAUAAUCAAAUAUUGAAUCCGUCGAGCCGAAAAUCAAGUUCGAUUCGGCGUUAAGAAAAAAAAAGAUUUUUGACCAUUUUAUCAAAAUGUUUUUGGUUAGUUUUAUAUAUAUUUGUUUUAUGUGUCUAUGUUUUUUUAUUAUUUAUAAAUUAGAGAAAUUUAAAAUUAAUUGUUAAUAUUAAUAAAAUUGGUUAUUCAAAUAAGAAUUAUGUGAGUGGUAGGUGGCUUUUGUUCCUUUAUCCUUCCUAUCUUUAAUAUGUGAUGGUGGGUUCCAUAUUUAUAUACCAAACCAAGUAGUAACCUUUCAUUAGCACAAUAUAGUGGGUUCCAUGUGAAUAUUCUCGUGACAAAAUGAUGCCAACCAUUGAAACAAAUUGACAUAAUUCAAUAAAUUUAAGUAGGUUCUCUAAUUAUUAUUAAAAAUAAAAACUAAUUUUUAAAUUUAUUAAAUGAUUGAUGUAUCUAGUUUAAUAUAUAGACUAAAUACAUAUUAACCUAAAAAUAUAUUUUCAUUUAUAAUAAAAAUGAUCGUAAUAGUAUCAAAAUACAUCGAGCAAAAAAACAAAAAAAAACUAUAAUAAGUAUGAAGAGUUAAAAAAACAUUAUUUUUCCCAAUGAAUUGACUAUUUAGUAUAUGAACCACAAAACAAGAGAGGAUAGUUUACUAGUUGUACCAUAUACCAUAAGCCAAGGUUAACCAUAUAUUAGUUAAUUAGGAAAAAAUCUAAUUAAAUUUCUAUUUACUAUAUGCCACUACUAAUUAUUAUGUAUCUCAAUUUAUUUGGUAAAUAUUCUAGCUAUUAUUAUAAAUAAACAACUAAUUUUUUAAAUAUGUUGAAUAAUCAAUAUAUUGGACAAACUCACCAGUUAUUAAUUCAAUAAAAUUAUAAAAAAAAAUAGUUAGAAUAGUAAUUAAAAGACAUAAAGAUUAACAAUAAUUUAAUAAAAGUUUCUAGCAUGCAUGUAAUUAAAAACACUAACAACAAUUAAGCUUAACCCAUUGGGGGAGAGGGAAAUUAACAUGAAAGAUUGAAUUGACCUUUGGUUGAAGAACUGCAAGAAGAUGAUGGUAAGAGAGAGUUGAUUUGAACAAGAUGGUGUCUUUCUUCCCAUGAAAGUUCUUCAAUGGCAAAACCUUUCUCUAAAAAGCAAAAGAAAAAGAG
rnacentral:lncRNA from 1 species